rnacentral:rRNA from 1 species
CCUACGGGAGGCAGCAGUGAGGAAUAUUGGUCAAUGGCCGUAAGGCUGAACCAGCCAAGUCGCGUGAAGGAAGAAGGAUCUAUGGUUUGUAAACUUCUUUUAUAGGGGAAUAAAGGUAUCCACGUGUGGAUAUUUGCAUGUACCCUAUGAAUAAGCAUCGGCUAAAUCCGUGCCAGCAGCAGCGGUAAUACGGAGGAUGCGAGCGUUAUCCGGAUUUAGUGGGUUUAAAGUGUGCGUAGGUUGUUUUUUAAGUCAGCGGUGAAAGUUUGUGGCUCAACCAUAAAAUUGCCGUUGAUACUGGAAGACUUGAGUGUGUUUGAGGUAGGCGGAAUGCGUGGUGUAGCGGUGAAAUGCAUAGAUAUCACGCAGAACUCCGAUUGCGAAGGCAGCUUACUAAGCCAUAACUGACACUGAAGCACGAAAGCGUGGGGAUCAAACAGGAUUAGAUACCCGAGUAGUC